UUCGCCAGUGCUGUGAGGGAC
rnacentral:misc_RNA from 1 species